GGGGCGGCGGGCGCCGCGGCCUGAGGGGGCUGCGGGGCUCUGGGGUCGGUUCGGUUCUGAAAUGGCGAACGGCCUCAGCCGGGGCCCUGGGCAGGGAAAAGCCUUCCCGCUUGGAAGUUUCGUUUGAAAGAGAUGCGGGGCGAGGAGGGCGGAGCUUUGCAGGGAGCGAGUGGGGCAGGAGGAGGCUGGAGCCCGGCUUUGCUUGUCAGGUUUCCGGCAAAGGUUAGCUCCACGCUGUAAGACAGCGCUGUAUGAUCACCGGGCUCUCGGUGUGAGGGAGAUGGUUUUCAAUAACAGCAAGGCAUUGCAGCCAAAACUGGCAAGGGGCUGCGAGAAAGGAACAGCUAGAGAUCUCUGUUAGGAAAAAAAAGGAUGUGGACAAAAUAGUCUGGGAGCUGGGUGCACGGAAACAACAGGACACAGAGCUUCAUCACCAGGAGAAACAGCCCCAGCCUCACUGCCCUCAUCACAGCAGCACAGCUUCGGUGCUGCCACCAGCACAGACCAGUGGCCACCUCUACAGCUCCCCAGGAGACUGCAGAACCUCCAGGCCUGCAAGAGAAACAAGCACCGGGUUUCAUCUGUGAAGCAGCCCAUAAACUCUGCUGUCCAAUGCAGAUGUUUCCAGCAAAUUGCUUUCAGCUGCUUCUUGUCCACCCCUGAACACCAGAUUUCAUGCUUAAGCUAAAAAUAAAAAAGACCUUGAUGCGAGGUUAAAUUAAACAGAGAAUUUGCCCA